rnacentral:rRNA from 1 species
GUGGGGAAUAUUGGACAAUGGGCGAAAGCCUGAUCCAGCCAUGCCGCGUGUGUGAAGAAGGUCUUCGGAUUGUAAAGCACUUUAAGUUGGGAGGAAGGGCAGUAAGUUAAUACCUUGCUGUUUUGACGUUACCGACAGAAUAAGCACCGGCUAACUUCGUGCCAGCAGCCGCGGUAAUACGAAGGGUGCAAGCGUUAAUCGGAAUUACUGGGCGUAAAGCGCGCGUAGGGGGUUUUGUAAGUUGGAGGUGAAAUCCCCGGGCUCAACCUGGGAACUGCCUCCAAAACUGCAUGACUAGAGUACGGUAGAGGGUAGUGGAAUUUCCUGUGUAGCGGUGAAAUGCGUAGAUAUAGGAAGGAACACCAGUGGCGAAGGCGACUACCUGGACUGAUACUGACACUGAGGUGCGAAAGCGUGGGGAGCAAACAGGAUUAGAAACCCGUGUAGUCC